CAAAAUCAGCAACAUCUAUUCUACUUUUUAACUACUCCAUCCACAGUGAAUCAAAUUUAUAUCUUUUGGUUUUAUUAUUUGUAGCUCUAUUUAAUCUUUCAAUCCGGUUUUAUUAUUUGUAGCUCUAUUUAUUCUUUCAAUCCAUUGACUAGCAAUAUUUUUUUACUAAAAAAAAUUAUAUUCAUUCUAAUUAAUAGCAUACAUCAAUAAAAAAAAAAAACAACACAAAUUCAACAUUAUUAAAACUAAAUAAAUAAUGAAUCAGUGAAAAAAAAAACUCAUGUCUCUUGAUCAAACAUGUAAAUAUAUAAUUGAACACAACUUCAAUCUCUAACUAGGCUCACAAUCUAGACAACCAAAAGAAUGAAAGUGUUACAAUUUUUCUCCUAAACAAAAUUUUGUCCUCAAAAUUUCUGUAUUGAUAUAAAGUAAAAAUUAACGUGUGUAUAAAGCUCUCUCAUUUUACUCUUUAGCUCCCUAAUACUAGUUAGUACUUUUCACAAUUGCUUCACUCUAGAUUUCCUUUACCAAUAGAAUAUUUUUUCAUCUAUAAGCUUUGAUAUUUGAUUCCCACCUUGGCUAACUUCCUUUACUCUUUGGGUGGCUUCUAAGAUGAUGGCUAAAAUAAAUCCCUCAUUUGUGGAGCAGAGUGAAAUUAUGAUGCAGAUAUUUAAUAAUUUUAUUAUAAAAAUUAUAUUACGUGAUUCAAACUAUUUGAAAUUCUACUUGAUUAUGGUUUAUGAAUUAUGCAUAUCAAAUAACAUAUCACAGUGGUAUUGGCUCAUAAGUUAUGCAUAUUAAAUAUCAUAGUUUUCAUGUAUAUUAUAAUAGUAACAAGAAAUAUUCAAUAUAUUGACAGUAGAAUGUCUAUAAAUAAAUUAUUGGUCCUUAAUAUAAAAUAGUGAGUGAGAGAUUAAAAACUUGAAAAAAUCAAUAAUAUAAAAAAUUAAAACUCUUCCUCUUUAUAAUAAUGGCUAAAAGUAAUUAUUUUAAGAGUAUAAUUUAUUCUGUAUUAUGAAAUUAACAUUUCUGGUUUUUUUGUUUUUGUUGAGAUGUUAUAGUAAAUUUUUUACAAAAUAUUCCUAAAAUUAAUCUUGAUGUUAUAUUGUCACAUUUGGAGAGUUGUGAAACAGGCAUACAUGUAAAAGCACAGUGGACCUCUCAUUAGUUCACUUUUUUUAGAACUGGAUACUCUUGAGAGAAUAAUUGACAAUUGAGAAUAUAAUAAAAAAGAGGAAUCCUUAGUAUCAUUAAUAGUAUAUAUUUACGUAAGAUUCUUGGCUUAUCCUUUUGGCCUUUUGUCAUGUUUACCACACAAGACAGGAAAGUCAUCGCAACUACAAUAUUAAUUAACUUUUAUUUUUUAUUUUUUUAUCUUUGGAUUUUUGUUUGAUUUUACGAUAAUAAAAAUUAAUUUUGUCUAUAUAAGGUUCUUUUUUUGUCAGUUAAAAUUGAUUUUUAAAAUAUAAAAUUAAUUUUAUUAUUUGAAUAUUAUUGAGUAAAAUUGAUUACUUAAAAAAAAUUCUGAAAUUCGUUCUAACUUAAGUUAAAAUUUAUAGUUGAUAAAUUCAAACAUAAUUUUUGCAUUUAAAUUUAUAAUUCAAUACACUUUUAUAAGAAUAUAUUUAAUUAUAAAUUAUUUUACUUUCAAUUCACUUUAAAAUAAAAUCAAAUUGUUACCGUAAAACCUAGCUAAUAGACAAAUAUAAAAAGUGAAUUGUACCAUACUGCAAAAUCAAUUCAACUUAUUAACAGAAAAAAAAUGUCAAUAAUUAUUCCAAUUAUGAUAUCUUUAAAAAUAAAACCAUGCAAACUUUAGAUAUUUAGAUUAAGAUAUUUAAUUUAACAACGUGACAACCAAAAGCUUAUAAGGUAGGAGAGUUGUUCAACAAACCAACGUAAAUCGGAUUUUGAUCCAUUAUUACCAAAUUAAUUUGCAUCACCACGAUGUGAGACAAUUGCUCCAUGUUUAGAACAUAUAUGUCAUUGUACAUGUAGUGGUUUGAAUAUAUAAUUAGGAUGAUUAGAUAAGAUAAUAAGAUAAUCUGUAUUAGGUCUUUAAUAUUCAGAUUAAUUAAAUUAUUUAAUUAACGAAGAAGCUUUUACUUUUACUUUUCUCCUUAUUAAUAAAAAAAUUUUGUCUACGUAAACUUAUCAAUUAUUUAAGACACGUAUUGUGGAAUAAUCAUAUCAAAUAAUGUGAUAAAUUUAAUUUGAUAAUCCAAAAAUAUCUGCCACUAGUCGUCUUUGAAUCUUGACUUGUUAAUAAAAAAUCUAAUUGAGAUGAAACUAUCCGCUACGUGUAUCUCAUAUUAUAGUCGCUGUAAAAAGUGAUUAAUCUUUGCGUGUAAUUCUAUCACACAAUUAAAUAUUUAUUACAAAAACCCGAAUUUGAAUUAUGCUAUUGAUAUAAAGGUUUGUUGGAGAUAAUAUAUAAUCAAAAGAGGAAUUCUUAUAGUGAGUAAACUAAUUCUAUAAACUAAAUAUUAUUGUCAACAUGAAUUUUGCGAAACUAUACUUUCCAACUUGUAUGUCAUCGCACGUUUGGUAGCCUUUUAGAUGCAAUUAGUUUUAUUUUAAAAUAAUGGAUCAAAACUAAAUAUAUGCAUUACCAUAAUAAAUUUGCCUAUCUGAUCAGUCCAUUACAAAAUAGUUAAUUGCGUGCGAUUUUUAUUGUUCCUCAAUCUCAAUUCAACACAAUGUAUUUAUUUUGAAUAUAAUAAUUUUAAAUUCAAACAAACAAAACUAUUAUAAUGUAUUACAUUCUUUGUACUUUCAAACAAUAGAAUGAAAAUUUUAUUCUACAAUUACGACAUAAAAUAUCUAAACAAUAAAAUAAAAUAUUUGUUUUAUUUUGUUCCGUUCUAUUUCAUUUUUUUCCUCUUAUUUUUAAAUAUCUCAGUCUUAAACUCCACAAAAGAGAUUAAAUAGGUUACACACCUUCUUCAAAAACUACAUUAAAAAAUAAAAUAAAAAAUAAAUGGAUGACUAUUUAGUUAUACUUCAGUUGCUUCUUUUUAUUGUCCAAGGGAGUCCAAGGGAGCCUAAUAUUCGAAAUGAGCUAAACAAGGAUUCAUAAGAGACUUAGACACCACAUUUCAACUCAAAACCUUAAGGCAAUAGGUUUAUGGGUCAUUGUACUUAUAUAUCCAAUAUAGCCUCCAUUCCUGGUCAAUGUGGGACGCCUCCAUUCCUAGUCAAUGUAAGACUAACCACUCAUAAUUAAAUUCCAACAUACUAACCACUCAUAAUUGAAUUCCAACAUAUAUUGAUCUCUAAAGUUAAAAAAUUUCACCCAAGAGCCAUGUUUUUUUUUUUUUUUUUUUUUUUUUUUUUUUUUUUUUUUUUUUUUUUUUUUUUUUUUUUUUUUUUUUUUUUUUUUUUUUUUUUUUUUUUUUUUUUUUUCUAUUGGUGAAGUUAGUUAACAAAAGCGGUACUAAUGUUUACUAUUAAAUUAGCACUUAUAGGAAAGAUAACACAUAAGUUGUAUGAUAAAAUGCUUCAACCAUUCCACUACCUAGUUUAGUCUUAAGACGGAUUCGAUGUUAUUUUUUGUACCAUUAUGCAUUAUAAUUUGAUAUUAGGUACUAUGUUCAGUUUGAUUGUUAAGUGAGUAUGAAGUUCUAUGCAUUUCCAUUUUUUUUAACUCUUGUAUUUUUUAAUAUUAUUCAAUUAAUAUUUAAUAUUAUUCAAUUAUUGAUUUUCACACUUGUUGACCAGCUACUGGGCUAUUACAGUAUGAUACAAGAAAAAAAAUGUUAAUUUGCUGCACUAAGAUUCAAAUUUUGCUCAAGAUGAUAGGAAAUUUAAUUUUGAAAUCUUACAGUUUCCUCUGUUUUUUUUUUCAAAACAACAUAGCUUGAUUGUGGAAUAGAAAAAGCAGUUGGUUGCUUGGUAAAUGAUAGUGAACUUAGUAAUAUUUUUUUUAUCAAGAUUAGUUAUGUCAUAAUACUUCGAUUUUAUGAAAAAAGGGAAGGUUAAUUGAAUGAAUAGUGAUAAUGUAAAUGUAGACUGUUGUUGAUAGUGUGAGAAUGAUUGUUGUUUGAUUUGAAUCCUUAAUUGUGUGUCUUAAUUUCGGUCAUAUAACCAAAUCAUAUUGUUUGUGUUUUUUAUCUAAAUUCAGUUAGGAAUAUGAUAUUGAGUUUUUAAAUGUUAAGAUAACAUGUUAUUUGAGUUUUUAUAUUUUUAAGUUGAGGAUAGUCUAAUCUUUUUAUGUUUUACGAUAUUUUUUUUUUAUAAUUUUUAAAUUCAUAAAAUUUAAUAUUCUAUUUUAAUCAUCUUUUAUUUUUUGUUUUAUGCGUGAUUACCUAUAUUAUAAACAAAUAUUUUAUAAGAUUUUAAAUAUAAGUAAAAGUGGCCACUAUAAAAUGCAUCAACCUUGUGUUUGGUUCCAAUUACUAUAUUAUACAUUCGAUGAAUUCAAUCAUACUUUUAAUUUGAAAAUAAUUUACCAUUUAUUGAAAGUAAAUGCUCUAUUAAGAUUUUUUUGGUCUGUUUUUCAAUAGGGUUAUAUGUGUCUCCAAGACCAUUCAAGAAAACAUGACAUAUAUGACUCUGUGCCUUUUGACCGUCUUGAUUAGAUCAUAGUCACAUUUGAUUCUACUUGAUUUAAUGCAUUUCUUUUAGCAAAAUUGAAACGUCUCUUUUAGCUUAUUUUAUCGUAUGCAUUGAAUUUUUUUAAACAAGUCUAAAUUCCUGAUAUGAUAUCUUUUGAGAAUCUUUCUUUGAGGUCAUCCAAAGGACUUUACAAUUCUUUCAUAGUAUUAGAGAGUAUUUUUAUAUUUUAAGUGAUAGGAUAAAAUAAUGUGUAUAGUAUAAAAUAUUCAUAUUAAUUAAAGUGGUUGAAAUUAGUAGUAGUAGAUAGACUAUUUAAUUAAAGACUUAAAUUUAUGGUUGGCUCAUAAUAUUGUGAUUUUUAAAUUUUAGUCACUGUUUAUUUUAUUUUAUUUCGGUUGAUUUUGGUUCCUUUACAUUUUGAUGACACAUAACUCAAUGCCAACAUUAAUUUCUAUUAAAAUGCAAAACAAGGAGAUUUAUGAUUUGAAGUAAUAAGAAAUUUGCUUAUUUAAUUGUCACCCUAAAUAAUAUUAGUUAUUAAUAUUAGUCUUUGAACAAAAAAUUAAAACCUAAUUAGGGAUUUGUUCCCUCUCAUAUGUCAUUUAUUUAUUUGUAUUUGUAUUUAUUUUAUUUUUUAGGGUUAAAGUCAUGUGGACAAUAUUGGUAAGAUGUCAAUGUCACAUCAAUAAAUUGAGUUAUCUCAGUGUAAUUUUAGAAAAAAUUAAGAGGAAGACUCUCAAAUUAAAAAGAAAAAAAAAAGGACUAAAAUCACUAAAAAAAAAAAAAGAAGAGAUUUUUUUUACAAGAAAAAAGAUAAGAUUAAAAAUUGCAAGAUCUCAAUAUUUUGACCGAUAUAAAAGUGAAUUUAAACCUCAAUUUAAUGAGAGUAUGAGAGUGAUGAAAAGUUGAUAAAUGUUAUUUUAAUAUUAUAAAUUAAAGAAUAAUUUUAAACAAAUAAAUAUUAUAAAUAUGACUUAUAAUGAGGUGGAAGUAGUCAUUAAUGAAACCACAAUGGGAAAAGUCAUGACCAUGAUUUAGAAUAGGAAUCUCUUCAUUCACGAACAACUUAUUACUUGAGUUGAAUGGCUUUUUUUUUUUAAAUAGUUCAUAUUAAUAGUUAAUUAUUAAUUUUGCUAGAGGUGGAAUAGAAUUCAUUAUCUCAUUGCCACUUCAAUUUCUCUAAACUAUAACAAGAACAAUUCUUAGAUUUUUUGCGUGAUCUAGAUAGUAUGGAUUGAGAGAAUUUGAGAUUAAUUUGCGACAUUUCCCUAUUGAAAGUAGUUUGUGUUGCUUGAACAUGUUUUAUCCAUGAUUGAACUAUUAAGGAACAAUGAAGCUAUAGUUUGAGUAAUCAAAGGAAGGAGAUGAAAUAAUGCAGGAAAUGGAGUAGAGUUGUACCACGAGCAAGAAAAUUCCACUUUAAUACCAAGUAGUAAAAAAUAUAUAGUAAACUCUUAUUGACAUAAAGAGGAAAAAAUCACAAUAAAAAUUUUCUCUAAUUUUUUUUUAACUUUUAACAAAUACAAUCAAGACUUGUAUUUUGAGGAAGUGAAACAAAUCUAAUUGUUUAGUAAGAGAAUGCUGUUACCACCGCGGUGACACUUCUAAUCCAAUUGAACUUGUAAUUGUUUAGGAUUUUUCAUUCACUUGUUUUGAGGCACGAAUAUAUUUGAUUUUGCUUUACUAAUCUAUAAAACAAAAUUUAAAUAAACCAUUAGAAUAAUUUUAAAUAACUUUUUCAAUUGAAAAGACAAUUUAAUAAUAAAAAACACACCUCCAAUUGAACAAUUUUGUAAUUGUUCAGAAUUUCUCAUCCACUUGUUUUGAGCCGCAAGUAUAUUUGAUUUUGUUUCACUAAUCUACCAAACAAAAUUUAAAUAAACCAUUAGAAUAAUUUCAAAUAAUUUUUUUUAUUGAAAAGGCAAUUUAAUAAUAAAAACACACCUAAAUCAGAAAAACAGUCUCUUGCCACCAUGCUCCUGGUACAACAAUUUCAUGUCAAUUAUCAUCAAUUAUACACAAUGAACACAACUGUUAAACCAACAACGAUUUCAUGUCAAUUAUCACCAAUUAUACAUACAUACAUAUAUUACCCAAUAUUUUGGAAAUAUCUCACAAUCCCCCACCAUUUUCAAAAUAUACUUAGUACCAUAAUUUUAAAAAUAUCAUGGUUUCAGAUAAUGGUAUCUUACGAUUUGAACCACUACUUAGUAAGCUAUGGGUUCCACUUAUCCUGAAUAGAUUGGUAGACAAGUUUUGAACCAGUUAUUCAUUAGAACAAGUGUGCACAACUUACACAUAAAAUCUCAAUACUAUCGAAACAAUUAUAAAGAUGACACAUUUGUUAAGGUCUUGUGUCAUGUACCCUUUUCAUGAGAAUUUAAGAGUCAAACCCUUUAACUCUCUGAAGCGGCCUCACUUCAUCCUCACAUAGAUAGACUAUAUCAAAAAUACACCCAUAUAUGUAUUUCAACAAAUUUAUGCUAUAUGUCUAUUAAGAGUAAAACUCAACCUUCCAACUUUAUACUUAUGGUCCAAGUACUUUCAGCCUUUGGGAUGUAUCUAUAUUUAAGUACUUGCAAUCAUUCUAAUAGUGUACUUUUAUCAUUGAACUCAAGACUUGAUGUUACUCAAGUGUGAGUCGAUUUUCCACCAUUGAUGAUUAAUUAGAUAUGGGCUUGAGUCUCAUCCUCAAUGAUGUUUUCAACACCAUGUCCCUUGUCAGACCUUUUGUCAAACGAUCUGCAAGAUUAUUUUCAGUUCUUACAAACACAAUGGAUAUUACUCCAUUUAUAAUUAAAUCAUUUACAUAGCUAUGUCUUAGACCAAUAUAUCUAGAUUUUCCAUUAUAUACUUGGCUAUAUGCUUUGGACAGUGUGAAUUGACUAUCGCAAUGUAUGUAUACUAGUGUCAUUGGCUUUGGCCAAAUUGGUAUCUCAUAUAAUAAAUUUCUUAAUCAUUCUGCCUCUUUACGACCUGCAGCUAGGGCAAUGAACUCUGCAGCCAUGGUGGAGUCAUCAAUGCAAGUUUGUUUCUUUGAUCCCCAAUAAACUGCACCUCCACCAAGGUUGAAGAUGCAUCCACUUGUGGAAGCAUGAUCCUCAACAUAAGUUACCCAACUGGCAUCUGUAUAUCCUUCCAAAACUGAAGGAUAUCCACUAUAGAUUAAACUAUAGUUAAUUGUUCCUUUUAAAUAUUUUAAUACUCUAUUAACAACCUGCCAAUGUUCUUUACUUGGAUUGCUAGUAUACCGACUUAAUCUGCCUACAACAUAUGCUAUGUCAGGUCUGGUACAGGUCAUGGCAUACAUCAAGCAUCCGAUUACCUUUGAAUAAUCUAGUUGUGCCACAAGGCAUCCUUUGUGGUUGUAAACUAACAUUUUGAUCAAAUGGAGUAUAAACAGGUUUGCAAUUAAAUUGAUCAAUUUUUUUUAGCACUUUCUCAAUAUAAUGAGAUUGAGAUAAACCAAUAUUUACUCCAUCUCUAAUGAUUUUAAUUCCUAAAAUUACAUCUGCUUCACCUAAAUCUUUCAUAUCAAAAUUUUUUGAUAAGAAAGUUUUAGUUUUUUCUACCUCAUCUAAAUUGGUGCCAAAGAUUAACAUAUCAUCCACAUAUAAAAAAAAUCAUAACACCAUUUCCAUCAUGAAAUUUACUAUAAAUACACUUGUCAGAUUCAUUUAUUUUGUUUCCAUUAGAAAGCAAAACUUUAUCAAACUUUUGGUGCCAUUGUUUGGGUGCUUGUUUUAACCGAUAUAAGGAUUUAGUCAAUUUAUACACUUUAUGUUCUUGCCCUUUGAUAACGAAUCCUUCAGGUUGUUUCAUAUACACCUCUUCAUCUAACUCUCCGUUUAGGAAAGCAGUUUUAACAUUCAUUUGAUGGAUUACAAACUUAUUGAUAGAAGCUAGUGCCAAAAGCACUCUUAUGGAUGCAAUUCUUGCAACAAGUGCAUAAGUAUCAAAGUAGUCGAUACCUUCUUUUUGUGUAAAUCCUAUGGCAACAAGUCUAGUUUUGAAUUUAUCAAUGGUACCAUCAACUUUCAUUUUCUUCUUAAAAAUCCAUUUACAAACCUAUUGGUUUGGAUCUAGGAUGGAGGUCUACUAAUUUCCAAGUUUUAUUCCCCAUAAUCAAGUCCAUUUCCUCUUGGAUGGCUUCUUUCCAAAAGGAAGAGUCUUGAGACUUUAUUGCCUCUUCAUAUGUGUCUGUGUCACUCUCUAAAUUGUAGCAAAUUGGUCCAUAACUGUUAAUGAAAUUAUUUGUACCUUCUACAAGAAACAUAAAGAAGUCUAGGCCAUAAUCUUUCUCUUUUCUGGCUCUUUUACUUCUUCUGGGUUCUGAACAUGACAAAGUAUCAUUAUUAGAUGCAUUAUUUUUCUAGACUUUGUACACUAGAACAUACAGUUUCCUUGGGAUGUGGAAUUGAGUUAAAUCUAUUUUCUUAAAAAAUUGCAUCUCUUGACUCAAUCACUGUGUUAAUAGGAUAUGAGUCAUUAGAUUCAACAACCUUGAAUCUAUAGGCCUUGCUAUUUUCAGCAUAGCCCAGAAAUACACUUUCAAUUCAUCUUUCUCCCAAUUUCUUUCUUUUUGGUUCAGGAACCUUAACAAUUGCUUUACAACCCCAAACUUUUAUAUAGUUAAGAUUUGGUUUUCAUUUCUUCUAGAGUUCAUAUGGGGUUAUCUUGCUCCUUUUAUUGGAAACUCUAUUUAGCAAAUAAGAUUGAAUUUUCUUUUCUUCCAGAGUUCACCCCAAUAACCUUUAGAUAAACCAGAAUAGGAUAACAUGUCAUUCACCAUUUCUUCUAAUACCCUAUUUUUCCUUUCUGCAAUUUCAUUUUGUUGUGGGGAAUAUGGUGCAGCUGUUUGAUGCACAAUACUAGUGGACUCAAAAUACCCAGGAUGAUAGAACUCUUCUCCCCUAUCACUUCUAAAACACUUAAUAAAAGUUUCAUGUUGAAGUUCUACUUGUGCUUUAAAUAUUUUAAAUUUGCCUAAAACUUCAUUCUUAGAGUGCAUUAAAUAAACAUAACAAAAUCUAGAGUAAUCAUCAAUAAAAGUGACAAAAUACUUUUUACCACCAAUUGUAGGCCAACCAUGUAAAUCGCAUAUAUCAGAGUGAAUUAAAUCUAAUACCUUAUAAUUUCUUUCAACAGUUUUAAAAGGGUGUCUUGUGAUUUUAGUUAGCAUGCAAGUAGUACAUGAAUUUGAAUUUUUAUCAAAAUUCAGAAUUAAAUUUGAUUUCAUCAUAUCAUUCAAUUUUCUAAAGUUAAUAUGUCCUAGUCGCAUAUGCCAUAAAUCACAAGACUCAACAAUAUAAGCAUAAAUCAUAUUAUUAUUAUAGUUACUAACAACAUUACAUUUGAACAUAUUCUCACAAAUGUAACCCUUCCCUACAAACAUACCACCUUUAGAGAGAAUAAACUUAUCUCCCUCAAAUAUACAUUUGAAACCAAACUUGUUAGGUAAAUGUACAGAAGUCAAGUUCUUCCUAACAUUAGCACUACAAGAAAAAAAAAAACGUUUUGCGGCGGUUAAAAAGGGGAUUUGCAGCGGUUGAAACCGCUGCCGUUUGAUGUUUGCGACGGUUCUGUAACUGUCGCAGAUUCGUGCGUCGCGAGACCAGUUUGCGACGGUUCACAAAACCGUCGUUCGAACCGUCGGCAAAAUUUGUGACGGUUCCUAACCGCCUCUAAAUACAGUUUGCGACAGUUAGAACCGUCGCUAAAAGACACUCAAAUUUAUUUAUUUCUGAACAAUAACGACAAUUAUCAACCGUCGCUAUAUUUAUUUUGAGGCAGUUUAAACCGUCGCAAACCUAAUAAUUUAAAAUUAAAAAAAUAUGAUACAAUUUUUUUUCUAUUUUUAAUCAAUUAAAAUAAGAAAUAUUUAUAAAUACCAUCCACAUAAUUUAAAUACAUAAUUAAUAACUAUUCCAAAAUAUAUAAUUUUUUCAAAAGAAAUAACACCAAUUCAUACAUUGAAGUUAACUAAAACAAUAACUAAAUUAGUUUAAAUAUUCAAAACAUUAGUGGAGUAGCUAAAAAUACAAAACAACUCCAUCAAACUUAGAAGUUCAUCCAAAUAUCUAAUUAGUCCCUAAUGAUGUUCCACGAUCAUCAGGUUGGUGGCUGGACUAAGAUGAACGUCUACCAUCUAUUGGCAAUUCUAUGUCCAUUGGCUGAAGAAAAAAAAAGUAUAUAUUAACCUCAACGAAUAUUGAUAAAUAUUGUCAAAACUAAUUAACUAAAUUUCUCUUAUAGCUAUAAGAAAUCUUUACACAAUUGAUAUUUUUAAUCAAAGAGAAACAGUUCUCACAAGAUUUUUAAAUAGGUUUGCUAUGAAAAUAAUUUUACCUGUUUGUCUCUAGAAUUUUGCAUUUGCAUCAAGAAAGCAAUUUGCUCCUUCAACAUAUCAACUUCAGAAUCCCUUUUCUUAAGCCUAUCAAUUUCAGCUUGCAUUUUCUCCAUCUUUUCAUUAGCUUCAGAGGAAGACAUUGAUCUUACAGAGUGAGAAGUAGAUGUAGUAAUUUGUGACGGUGUUAUUUCAAGUCCCAUACAACGAACAUAUCCAAGAUGUUCUUUUCCAAACACAUUAACAAAUGCUUCAUUUGGAUAAAGAGUCUUCCCAAUUUCAGCUUGCAAUUGUUCCUGCGCAAACAGAUAAAGCAAACUAAAUUCCUCUUUGUAACAGAAAUGUCUAACUUUGCAACUCACUAUUAAAAUUAUGCAAUUAUACAAUUAUUUUGAGACAAAGAAGUAGCAUUUUAUUUAGUCUCACUAAUUAACAUUAAAGGAACAAAACAUAACAACGUCAUACUCUUAGAAAAUAUUACCCGAUAAACAUUCAAAAUAUAGAACUAGACCAGGUAUAUAGUACUAGACAAACAAUAACAAAUUUUAACGUUAAAAAAAUAAAGAACUAAUUAACAUUAAAAAAAAUAAUUUACGAAGUUUAAAUUUUGAUAAAAUAUAAAGGAAGAAAACUGUAUUUCAACCUAUGUGUUUUUUGUACAUAAGAAAUUAAGAAAUCAAAAUAUAGUUUGACCAAGAAAAAAAUAUUAUCAUGUGACUAAAACAAAAAGAAUAUCAUGUAACAACUCAUAACACUUAAUGAUGAUCAGCUAGUAACACUUAAUGAUGAUCAGCUAAAAUUUAAUUAGUUCAAUUCCUUAUCUUCAUACAUUCUUUGCAUUGCUCUUAAUAAAUUAUAUCUCUUCUUCUCGCAUCAUGCUGUACUGCAACUUCAUCAAAAAAUUACCCACAAGACUUCUACAUGUAGUUAGUUAUGGCAAAAUAAAUUAGUUAUUACUUCAAUUCAAAUUUGAGGAAAAAUUCUUGCAAAACAAGUAAUAGAACUGAGAUAAAAAUGAAAACAAACGAAAUAAAACAAAAUACUUUACCAAAAGUAACCAAUUCAAAGUAAUCAUAAUUCUAAGAUUUUAUUAUAAUUCAUUUCAAAACCAAAUGUAAUUUCUAGUCCAAAUUUUAAAGACAGGAAAAAUGAUUACUCCAACCAAUAUAAUGUGCAAAAAGAAGUGAAAAAGAAUUGUGUAAUGUUAUUCAAAGAUAAAAUUUGCCACAAAUAAAACACUCACAUUUUAUUAAAAACAGAAACGUGAACCCCACUAUAUUUGGUACGAGUAAUAGAACUGAGAUAAAAAUGAAAACAAACGAAAUAAAACAAAAUACUUUACCAAAAGUAACCAAUUCAAAGUAAUCAUAAUUCUAAGAUUUUAUUAUAAUUCAUUUCAAAACCAAAUGUAAUUUCUAGUCCAAAGUUUAAAGACAGAAAAAAUGAUUACUCCAACCAAUAUAAUGUGCAAAAAAAAGUGAAAAAGAAUUGUGUAAUGUUAUUCAAAGAUAAAAUUUGCCACAAAUAAAACACUCACAUUUUAUUAAAAACAGAAACGUGAACCCCACUAUAUUUGGUACGGUAUUUGUUUUUGUGUUCUAUUUUAUGUCAAAUUUUGUGUUCUAAUAAUAUUACUCAUUUGCUAAUUAGUUUUUGUAUCUUUUAGCAUGUAUUGAAUGGACACGAGCAGUUUAAAGUAAUAUUCUUGUUAACUAAACCUGUAAACACCCUAUUACAUAACCAUUUAGCUAAAUCAGAUGAAAAGAUGAAGAGAAAAACCAUAACCAGUUUUAUUUCACAUUUCUAGUUUCUCCGAUUAUAUCUCCAGGACACAGGUCCAACAUAAAUAUCAUUGACAUUGCCACUACUUUACAAGUUUUACAUUACUGGGGACCUUCAUUCAAACACAUACUGUUGUCUUCAAAGUUUCAAAGGCAACAAACAAUCUGGAAAUUAUUUUUAAAAGCAAACAAACCAAUCUCAAACAAACCAAUCAUUAACAUAUAUCAAACAAUCAAACCACGAGAACGUUAUAUCAAACAGACAGCGCAUACCUGGCCAAGCUUGAUUUCUCCUCUAUUUGGAUUGUAAAGCACAUGAAUGUUGCAAACCACAACUUUACGAGAAUCUGUCAAGCUGCAGAAUGCUGCAUUUAUGUUAUAUUGAGUAAACAAAGAUAUCUCUUCAAAAAAAUAUGAAUGAUAAUUUGAAAAAUUAAAAGAAAGCCCAUAAGGCUAUCAACACCUCAGUCAUUAAAAGAAAAGUUGCAAGCAUAACACAAGCAAGGCUCAAUUAAAAUUAUCCCCUGACCUUGUGCACCAAUCUAAAUCUUUAUGUCAGCACUCAGCAGCAUAAAAUAUACCCUUGUGAGUUGUGAACCUAAACAGUGUCCUCAUUCUCAUAAGAUUUAAGGAAACAACAAGAAGCUUUUCAUCCUCUAAUGAUGGAUGGAUACUCUUAAUGCUUACUGUAACUAGCUGGUACAAGAACUUACUGGGUUUGUACCCCAAUACUUUUUCUUUUCCCCUCAAAUUAUAUUAUCAGUUGUCUGAACACAUUUGAGUUAAACAUCACAAUAAGCCAACAUCACUCAACUACAAACCAAUCCAUAUAAAGACACUAGGUUUGGCUACUUCGUUGUUUGUUUUGCUUCUAAAUGAAACAAUGGCUAUUUCAUCCCUUUGUGCCCCUUUAUAGAAAUUUUUACUUUAUAUACAGCAAAGAAUUUUGUUGAAAACUUCAAGUUAGACCAUUAUGGACAGAGUACUCAUUUAGUUUUUUUAUUUAAUAAAAUUAUGUAAUAUAUCGUGUUGUACCAGUGCCCCAAUUUACAGAAAACAAUCUGUGAUGCUUUUCAUUCAUUAUGAUUAAUUUCAAAAUUAAGAUAACAUUUGCCGCACAAAACAAUUGGAACUAAACUGUUAAAUGGAACUAAAUGAUUACCUUAGCAAGAGUUGAUUUUGUUUCCAAGAUGAUAAAUCACCUUAUUUUACAGAGUAGAUUUCGUUUCUCCUCGAUUUUGUUUCCUUCAGAAGUUUUAGGGUUAACAGAUUUGGGGGUUUUCAGAAAUUUUAGGGUUGUGAAAGGAUGUGUGCGGGGCUAAGAAAGGAAUACACGAAAGAGAGAGCGAGGAAUGAACUUACAAAAUCUGGAAAAAUAAAAACACGUUUAUACCCUAAACGAUGAUGACAGUUGAUUAAAACCGCCCCAGGAACUGUCGCAAACUGGUGGCGAGAUUGAAAAACGCAACUCAUGUGCUUUAUAUGUUGUAGUAUGGUGGCGGCGGUUGACGAAAACCGCCUCAAAAACCGUCGCAAUGUGAAGGUGAGGGCGGUUAUUUCAGAACCUUCGCAUGCCAAAUUUCGCAAACUUAAAAAAUUCUUGUAGUGUAGGAACAUAAAAUACAUCCUUAAGAGUAAGUAUUUUUCCAGAAGUGAAUUCAAUCUCCACUGUUCCUUUUCCUUUGACUUGGACAGUUGAGGCAUUUCUCGUGUACAAAAUACUUCCAUCUUCUUCAUCAAUGGUCUUAAAUAGUUCUUUAUUUUUGCACACAUGGCUGGUAGCACCAGAGUCUAUCCAUCAAGAUUCAACAUCUUCAAUCAUGUUGAGUUUAGAAAUGACAGCAACAAGAUUAUCUUUUGUUGCACUUGAAUUCUUCUCUUUGUUCUCCCUUUUCAAGAACCUGCACUCAUUUUUAAAAUGUCAUAGUUUUCCACAAUGAUAACAACUUCCUUUUCUUUUCUUUCUUUGUUCAUCAUUACCGUUGUGUUUUUCAUGAGAUUUAUCAAAAUCUUGAUUUCUUUUCUUAAAAGAUUUGCUUGAAUUUCCUUCCUCCAUACAUGGAUCUUUUCAUGAGAAAAUUAGUUUUUAGUACCCUCUUGUUUACGGUACUCUUCUUCUAAACGAAGAUGAUUACCCAAUAUCUCAAGAGAUAUGUCAUAUUUCUUAUGUUUCAUAGAUUUUUUGAAAUCUUUCCACGAAGGUGGAAGUUUGUCUAUUAUGCAAGAUACAAUAAUAGUUUCAUUCAUGUGCAUUUGAUGUUGUUUGUAGUUAUUAAGAAUACGUCCAGUCUCAUGCAUUUGUUCCAUUACUGAUUUAUUAUCAACCAUUUUAUAAUUAUUAAAUUGAGAAACAAGAAACUUCUUACUUGUAGCGUAUUCUUGCAUGUAUCUUGACUCUAAUUUCUCAUAUAGUUCCUUUGCAAAGAUGCUACUUUGAUAUAUAUCAAACAAAGAGUCAGACAUUCCGUUGAGAAUAUGGCCCAUGCAUAUAUAGUCAUCAUUGUCCCACUUCUGUCUUUCUCUUGUUUCUGCUUAUGUUUCCACUUCCUUCUCCAGCGGUCUUGUGGUGUUUAGGACAUACACCACCUUCAAAGUUGUAAGAAGGAAUUUCAUCUUUUUCUGCCAACGGAUAAAAUUUCCUCCAUCGAAUUUCUCCAACUUCACAAAAUUAGAAGUCAUUUCUUUGAGUGAUGCAGCCAUUGAUUGAAAAAUAAGAUCGAACUUAAAGAUUGUUGGAUCUGUGUUGGUCACAACUGCUGCAAGACUUUAAUAGUGAAGUUGUUGAUGAAGAUUAUAUACAUCAAAUUCCAAAGUGUGUUGUUUCACUAGCCUUUAGGUUCGAUUCGCCCCCACCAUUCAGAUGCAAAUGAGAUAACCAACAAAUCCCCUUUAGGGUACUUUGGAAAACCUUGAUAUGAUUUUCACUUUCACACCAAGAGUAUCUUUCAAUAGUAUGUUACAAAAGAAUGAUUCUUAUUCUUUACUUAUGCAUUAGAAGAGAAUAAUAUGACUUAGAAUAUAAGAAUGAGUGGGAAAAGUGGAUGACAAUCUCUAUAAUUUCGUGUAUGCAUUAUGUCCAAAGUGACACUAUUUAUUGAAAAAUAAUGUCACUUGAGAAAGAGUUAAAAUUCUUGGUUCUGCCACUGUUUCGCGAACGCAUAUAUACAUAUAACGUUCACUUAUUGACUAAAGCAUUGCAUUGGUCUGGUGGUUGAUCAAUACACCAAUCUCAUUUUUAAUGAACGGGACCUUAUGUUUACACACAACCACUCAACCUGUGCCUUUUCAUAUGAUCAACUAUUGAUAAAGCAAGGUCAUGAUUGGUGUAAGUCUUGUUUCAAGGCUUUGAAUCACAUUUCAUCUUGUAUUGCUGAAGUUAUUACUAACAAAAUGAUAUAACUAAUUGCCAGAAGAAAAAAAAAAACAUAUCACCAUAAAGAAUAUAUGAUUGCACUUGUUUGAUAAUAAACAGAAGAAGGAAGCUUCGUCGGAGGAGUGUGAUGAGGUUGUUGAAGACUUAAGUACGGUAAAAGCAAAAGCUAAGGGUAAACAAGUACAAGAACCCCAUAAGAGUGCCAAAUCUAUUAUGAAGAGAUUAGGGGCUAAGAUAUUAGGACUUUUAGAGCUUUUUUUGUCAAUGAGCAGUAUGUGUAUGGUGAAACUUCUCUUGAUUUUCUAUUGCAUAGGGAUGACAGGGCAAAGAACACUACGCGAAAAACUGCAUUUUACAGUGUUUUUUUUAAUCCAUUUACAGCGCUUUUUCAAACAAAAAAAACGUUGUGGAAUCGAGCGCUGUAAAUGAUACAACAGCGCUUAAAACAUGUAAAUAUAACGCGCGCUUGUUAUGCACAUUUUACAGCGCUUUUUCAACAAAGCGCUGUAACAUGCACCCCAUUAUAUGAGUUAUGAGUCUGCAUUUUACAACGCUUUUUAACAAAACCACUGUAAAAUGCACACCCAUUAUAUGAAAUUAUGGGUCUGCAUUUUAACGCUUUUGUUGUACAUUUUACAGCGCUUUCUCAAGAAAGCGCUGUAAAAUGUACAACAAAAGCGUUAAAGUGCAGACCCAUAAUUUCAUAUUAUGGGUCUGCAUUUUACAGCGCUUUCUCACGAAAGCGCUGUAAAAUGUACACCAUUAUAGCGCUUUACAACAAUAUUUUACAGCGCUUUUUAAAAAAAGCACUGUAAAAUGUGUUUUUUUUUUAAACGCUGUAAAUUAAUUAUUUGAAAUGACAAGCGCUUUUUAGCUUUUUAUGGCAUUUUUUUUAGAAAGCGCUGUCUUUUAUCUUUGCAUUCAAAAUUAUUUUGAUCCAAAAUCAGUUCACAAUCAGUGCACACAACAACAAAACAUAUUCAAAUACCAUAAGCAGUUCACACAAUCAGUAAAACAGAAAUCAGAACUCUGUAACUUAAUUAACAUAUAUGUAACUUUGUAACUCUGUAAUUUACAACCUAAUUAACUACAUUCAAAUACAUAUAUAUAACCUAAUUUACAACCUAAUUAACUACAUUCAGAUAUAUAUAUAUAUAUAACCUAAUUUACAACCUAAACUACAUUCAGAUCCAUAUGCAUGUUCAUAUAUUGUGUCCUAUGAUCAUUUACAUAUAAUAACUAACAGAAUAUACAUAAUAUGCACUAGCUACCAUAUAAUAUUCAGAUCCCUUGCCCAACAGCAAGCUAUUUCCCAGAAAAUCAAAUAAUUUGCAUGUCAAGCACAUACUGACACCAGUCUUCCUUUAAUUCCAUCGGAUCUUCCUCAGAAUACGAUGGACUGGAAUUGUCAAAGUACUGCAAUAUAAAAAUUGAACAUAUUAUAUUAAGUUAGUAUCAAAUAUAUAGAUAAUUUAUAUAUGAAAAUCAUAUAAUGAAAAAUACUGUACCGUUUAUGGGAUAAUAGUUUUAUUCUUCUCAACAAUCUCCUUCAUGAAUCUCAAUACGUAGUACCCACAGUUGCAAAUAGCACCCAAUGUGCCCUACAACAACAAAAAAUUGGUUAAGCAAUUUUGUUUAUAGACAACUAAUAAAUUAAAUUCUCAUCAAUUAAAAAAGAUAAAAUUACGUACCCUGAAUUAUAUGGUGCCAAGAACAAUUUAUCACUUUCUUUAUUUCUUAAAAACAUAUCUACAAUGUAGUGUUUUACAUUGUCUGGAUCGAGUUUGAACAUCGACAUCUUAUGCGGAGACAAGAAUGAGUAUUUAUUUGACAGUUUCCUCGUGCACACGACCUUCUCGUACAAAAACCUUCAAUGAAAAUUUUAAACUAGAUUAAUUACCAAUACAUUUAAUUAAUUACAAAUAAAUGCAAUUAAAAGUAUUUUUUACCUUAUGUACAAGCUGAUUACAGUAACACUCAGCUCCUUAUGUUCGAGAAGUUCGUACAUGUGCUCCUUUUCGAGGUAUUCAAUAUACUCAUCUCCAAAGAUGUCUUUAUUCAUUUGUACGAUGGGCGAAUCGUUGCUGCUGCCCAUGUUCCUUUUUAUUUGGAUGUCAAGACACGCCCCGUAUUUACCAAGGCGUGGCUGACUUUUAUUAGGAGCAGCAGCAGCAGCGACCGAUUUUCCCCGAUCCAGAUUUUUUGUUGCUGCAAGUUUUGCAGCUUUAUUACCCUCCAGCCUUUGUAGUUUGGCAGCCCUAUUAACCUCCAAUUUUUGAGGUCUGCUGCCUUUUUUUGGCUGUAGGGGUGGUUUAUUUAUUUGGACCUACAAAAAUGAGGUAAAAUGUUAGUUUAUUGAAUCUGAAAAAAUAAAAAACCUUAGGCAAUAAAUGUGACAAACCUUUUCGGGAGAUGUAACUGAUUUGUCCUUGGGAAUCUUUUUUUCGAGGGCAACAAGGUGUGUGGGCCAUGCCACGUAACUGCCAAUAGCGUCGCUUAAGAACUUCAUAUCUCCAUCGUUGUCCGGUAUGGGCAACGGUGCAGUUGGUUCGAAAGCAACCGUAGGCGAUACUUUGACAUGGCCCGCGGGGAUCGGAAUAUUGUGCAAUACUUCUCCCGAAGUAUUGUGCAAUAUUCCUUUUCCCACCUUCCGUUGAGUCGGCGAGGACAAGUAUAGGACACAUGUAGUGACACCCUACAUCAAUAGUUAAAACAUAAGUACAGUUAAUAUAUAAGUUUGUUUAAUACAUAAGUAAUUACAUAAGCAAGUAAGUAGUAAGUAAUUAAUUACCUCGGGAAUACUCUUCAAACCGACGUUGCAACUCCCGGUUUCACUCUCCAUUUGUAUUUCAGGUUGGAGCUGAACCGGAAGUUGCUUGUCUUUAUUCGUAUUCACCAAGAGUGCCACUUGCUCCGAUAAGAUUCUGAGCUUCUCUAAUACUUCCUCGUUGGAAGGUUUUUGGCGCUUCUCUUGAGGAAAAAAGCUUUUGGGAGUUACGCCAAAUCCUUUCCCCCUCACUCGACCGGAAUACUCAGGGACAUUAAACACUUUCCCAAGAAUGUCCCUGCACGUAUCCUUGUUGCCCUCUUGAGUUUCAGAACUUUGUUCAAUAGUUUCCUAAAAUACAUGUAACAUUAAAAAGAUAAGUUCAAUAGCAUUUUUAAAAUACAAUAUUAAAAAAUAUUAAAGUGAUAAUAUACUUACACAAAGUUCUACAACUUUCUUGACAUUUUCAUUAUCAACCACUCCUUCUUUAUUAACACGCGCUUCCUUCCACAAUAUAUGACGACCCAAGGGUUGAUCGGCUUGGGUGUCUUUUCUCUAUUCGUUAAAAUCAUAAACAAAAUAAUACAAAUUAGUUACACACUAUAGUUUAUAAUACAAAUUACUUCAUUAUAUAAAAGUGAUGUUUAAUUACUUACAAUUUGUUGUUCAAGGCGUGCAUAUCCCAUAUGUGAUUUCUUGUAUGGGUGUUUUGGAUUGCUUGCCCGUUCGCGAUUUGCCUUACUAAUAUUCUAUAUAAAAAAAAAUAGCAAUUGUGUAAAAAUUUAAAAUACGCUACGAAUAUGAAUAAUAAAACACAAAUGCUAAUAAAUUAAUCACUUACGACAAACGCCGGGUCAGAACGUUUGGAAACAAAUGCACUCCAUUCAUCCUUUGAUAUAUAAUGUUGAUAUAUCUUUGGAGGUUCAGCAUUUGUGUUUCCUUCUCUAUCUUUUAGAUAGAAAUUUGAGAGAUGGGAUCUAAAUCCACGAUGGAUUUUCCCAGCAACUCUCAAAACAUAUGACUUUCGUUCCUCAUCAAGAACAAAAGUCGUCUGCAAUGAAAACAAUUAUAAGUAAAGUAUUUUAUAGAAAAAAAAUUAUAAAUGACAAAAGAGUGGAUCAAAAAAUUUACUUGAAUGUCAUUCCAUAUAAUAUCUUUGGCAUCCUUCAACGCCUUAUCUCUCCAAUUGUCGACUAUAAUUGGGACAUUUUGACAAACAACAACCUCAAUAUAGCUUACAAACAUAGAGCUGUUGGGGUCAACUGGCUGACCACUCUCAUUCCAGCCAACCUAAUAAACUCAUAUAGUAAGUACAUGCCCUAAACCCUAAAAAAAGAUAAAAAACACACAUCAAACAGAGUAUAGUAUACCUCAAAUUUAAUGCCAUUACUCCUUGCUUUAAUCACCUUUUGCAUGAUAGUUGCACCACGUUUGACUUCUUUUUCGUAAGUCUUAGAGGUGCCAACUUCUUCAUUUUGAACUUCUAUAUCUUUGUUUGUAUCCAUUUAACUACAACAAGUUCAACAUGCAGUUUAGUAUAACAUCAACAAGCUCAACAUGGAUCAUGCAUUAUUAUAAACAAGCUCAACAUGGAUCAUGCAUUAUUAUAAACAAGCUCAACAUGGAUCAUGCAUUAUUAUAAACAAGCUCAACAUGGAUCAUGCAUUAUUAUAAACAAGCUCAACAUGGAUCAUGCAUUAUUAUAAACAAGCUCAACAUGGAUCAUGCAUUAUUAUAAACAAGCUCAACAUGGAUCAUGCAUUAUUAUAAACAAGCUCAACAUGGAUCAUGCAUUAUUAUAAACAAGCUCAACAUGGAUCAUGCAUUAUUAUAAACAAGCUCAACAUGGAUCAUGCAUUAUUAUAAACAAGCUCAACAUGGAUCAUGCAUUAUUAUAAACAAGCUCAACAUGUAUCAGUAUAUCUUAAAAAAGCUCAACAUGCAUUUAAAUGAUUACAAAAAAUUUAUAACAUCAAUACCUGAAUAAUGGUUCGAAGAAAGAUGAAAUGUGAAGAAAAGAGGGAACGCAGAAAGUUCACAGAAAUAUGGUUCACAGAAAUACGGUAUUGAAGAAAUACGUAAUGAGGGUUACGUAUUUCAAUGAAAAUAUAUUGUGUGAAAUGGGAGAGAUGAUCUUGGAUGGAAAUAAGGUUCGUAAUGGACGGGAUGAUAGGGUUUGCAAAAGAAGAGAAGAACGAUGAAGGUUGAGAUGAUAGUGACGUUUACGUAAUGAAGAGGAAACUGAAGCGGUUAUUGUUAUAUAUACGUAACCCUUUUACGGCGCUUUUUUAUAACCCUUUUACAGCGCUUGUUCAAAUAAGCGCUGUAAAAUGUCUCUUUAUUUUAUUUUUAAAACAUUAUUUUACAACGCUUAUUUGCAAAAGCGUUGUAAUAGACCUCCUUGUUUUAUUAUGUUAUAUGAAGAGUUUUGUUUAAAGCCUUUUACAGCGCUUUGUUAAACAAGCGCUGUAAAAGGCCUUAUUGUUUUUGUGUUUUGUUAUGUUAUUUUUUAAACAAGCUCAACAUGCAAAACCCACAUAGUAGUAACUGGUCACCACCAAAAUCCCUUCCUCUUCACCAAACUCUUCUCCUUUUAUGCAUCUUCUUCACAAACAUCAAAGCUUACUCUUUCACAAUUCAAUCUCUACCUCAACACCCUUUUUAUCUCUUUACAUUCCCUUUCCUUCUUAAAUCGAAACUUGGUAUUCAAGUUCAUUGCCAUGUUGCGAAAAAUGGGUUUGAGUCUGAUGUUUUUGUUAACAAUGUGUUUUUGGGGAUUCCCAUGAUGGUACAAGGUGUUUGAAGAAAAUCCUGUUAGAGAUAGUCAUGUUAGGUGUCUAAUAAUUAUUAUUAAUAAAGCUGUUUACAUCGCUUUUUCAAAUAAGCGCUGUAAAAUGUCAUUUUUACUUAUUUUCAAAAGCGUCGUUUACAGCGCUUUUUAUAAAAAGCGCUGCAAAAGAUCUCAGUAUAUUAUUUUUGUGUUGGUUUUAUUUGGGUUCAAUUUUGGAUGACUGUAACUGAUCAGACAUUUAUUCCAAUCGAAUUGGCACUUAAUUUACAUUAUAUAAGUGACAUUAGUAUAAAACACUCAAUUCUGCCAUAUUAGUAUAAAACACUCAAUUCAAAUUACAUGCAUAUUUAUCACAAUAAUUCAGAUUACAUGCAUAUUUAUCACAAUAAUUCAGAUUACAUGCAUAUUUAUCACAAUAAUUCAGAUUAUAUUCAUAUUUAUCACAAUAAUUCAGAUUACAUGCAUGGCUUAUAUAAAACAAUUAAACAUAUACAUUAAGAUGCCCUUCUUCUUUUCCUGGUGGAAUUCACAUUUGUUUGUCCAUUUACAAUACGAAACGAUGGAUUAAUCCAAAUUCCCUCAUCAUGAUCAUCUCUAAGAUAUAAACCUCAUCAGUUGAAUCAAUUUCAUGUGGUUGUUGUGAUGUUGCAAAUAAAAUCCCUCAUCAUGAUCAUCUCUAAGAUAUAAACCUCAUCAGUUGAAUCAAUUUCAUGUGGUUGUUGUGAUGUUGCAAAUAAAAGAUCAUUACCAACAUCUUCAUCAUUAUUGUUAUCAUCACUUAUUUUAUUGGUCGAUAGGACAACAUACCAUUUAUCAUCAGAAGGAUCAGUGACAUAAAACACUUGUUGAGCUUGCGACGCUAAAAUAAAAGGCUCGUCUUUGUAUCCCACCCUAUUAAAAUCGACAAGCAAGAAUCCUGACUCAUCAAUCCGAAUGCCAUUAUUAUCGACCCACUUGCAACCAAAUAUAGGAACACGAAACAUUGUGUAGUCUAACUCCCAUAUGCGCUCGAUAACCCCAAAAUAUGAUAGAUUUGCAUAUAUUGGGUUUUUGUCUUUUGCACUUGAGACAUGCAUCGCUUCAGCUACGAGAGUGACUCCACUAUUUUGCAUAGUGGUCUGAUCAUCUUGUUCUUUGGUAUAAAAUGUGUAGCCGUUAAUAACAUAACCAGUGUAAGAAAAGACAUGUAAGCUCGGACCAUUUGCUAGCCACCUCAAUCUAUUUGAAAUUGAUCCGGGGUCUAUAUCAAAUUUUGACAUUAUGUGAUUUUUUAACCAUGUUACAAAACUUCGAUUGUGCUCUCGAGUUAUCCAAUUUUGAUUCCUAUUCAUGUUCAAACGAGAUAACUGAUCAAUGUGUAUUGUAACAUACGGUUGAACCUCAUCAUCAUUGUGCAGAACAUACAAUUGUGCCUGCUCCCAUUCUGUCCUUGAUAUAGUCAGUAGUCUCCUUCCAGUUAUCCCUUCUCCUGAUAGUCUUCCCGAAUGACGAGACAUGGGAAGCCCUAUGGAUUCAACAUUGGACAGAUAUUCAGUACAAAAUUCAGCAGCCUCUUCAACAAUGUAUCGUUCAGCAAUACAACCUUCUGGUCGACUUCUACUUUUUACGUACCCUUUUAAUAUUUUCAUAUAUCGUUCUAUCGGAUACAUCCAUCUCAUAUAAGCUGGCCCACAAAGUUGUGUCUCCUUAACCAGAUGAACAGUAAGGUGAACCAUUAUAUCAAAAAACGAUGGUGGGAAAUACAUUUCAAGCUCACACAAAGUAACAACAAUUUCCCUCUGCAAUGUCGGUAAUUUCUGAGGGUCGAUCACUUUACUACAAAUUUCCCUGAAGAAGAAACAUAAUCUAGUUAAGGCUAGUCGAACUUUUUCAGGUAAAAUGGAACGUAUACCUAUUGGUAGCAAAUGCUCCAUUAUAAUAUGACAAUCAUGGGUCUUCAAACCUUUUAACUUGAGGUCUUUCAUACAAACCAAAUUUUUAAUGUUCGAAGAGUAUCCUUCUGGAACUUUAACUUCGUGUAGAAAUUUACAUAAAACAAUUUUUUCCUUUCUAGAUAGAGUAUGAGCGGCUGGAGGUAGAUAUGUGCGAUUUCCUUUCUUUACUGGAGCCAGUUCAUUUCUUAUUCCCAUAUCGACCAAGUCCAAUCUUGCAUUGACGCCAUCUUUAGACUUUCCUGGAACAUUGAGUAACGUACCAAUAACACUUUCAAAUACAUUUUUUUCAAUAUGCAUCACAUCGAGGAAAUGUCUUACAUACAAUGACUUCCAAUAUGGCAAUUCAAAGAAAAUUGACUUUUUCUUCCACCCAGUUUUCACCAGCUCUCCCGCAAAAGGUUUGCCAAAUUUAUUGGUCAAACCUUGUACUUUUUCAAGUAUUUGAUAUCCAGUCGGUGCUAAAGGAGCUUUACCUUCCUCUGAUUUUCCAUUGAAUGCAUUUCUCCACCCACGAUACUGAUGACUAUAAGGUAAAAAUCUACGAUGUCCAAGAAACACAUUCUUCUUACAAUGUUUCAACCGCAUCCAAUUUGUACUCUCUUCACAUAUAGGACAUGCACACUGACCUUUAAUGCUAUAUCCUGAUAAAUUACCAUAUGCUGGAAAAUCAUUAAUUGUGCCGAACAACAUAGCCCUCAAAUUGAAACACUUUUUCCUAUACCCAUCAUAAACUUCCACACCUGUCUCCCACAGAAUUUUUAAAUCUUCAAUUAAAGGAGUCAAGUAUACGUCGAUAUCAUUCCCCGGUUGUUUGGGUCCAGAAAUUAACAGAGACAACAUCAUAAACUUACGCUUCAUACAUAACCAUGGAGGUAGGUUAUAUAUUACCAAAAUCACAGGCCACGUGCUAUGUGAGAUGCUUUGAAGACCAUGUGGAUUCAUUCCAUCAGUAGAAAGUGCAAGUCUUAGAUUUCUUGACUCUAUCCCGAAUUCAGGAUACUCGUGAUCAAUUUUUGCCCAUUGUGGGGAAUCUGCAGGGUGUCGAAACAUUCCAUCUCUAAUUCUUUCAUCUGCAUGCCAUGUCAAGUGUUUUGAAUCUUCUUCACUGCGAUACAUGCGCCUAAAUCUUGGUAUUAUAGGAAAAUACCACACGACUUUUGCUGGAGUAGAUUCUUUCUUCUUAUAUCGAGAGACAUUGCAUUUCGGACACGCCUUAAGUAGUUCAUAUUCGUUUCGAAAUAAAAUGCAAUCGUUAGGACACGCAUGAAUCCUUUCGUAACUCAUUCCAAUAGAACACAAAAUCCGUUUAGCCUCGUAGGUUCGACUGGGAAGUUCAUUAUCAUCUGGCAACAUAUCUUUUAUGAGUGUUAAUAAUUCCGUAAAGCUUUUAUCAGACCAUCCAUUACUCGCUUUUAAGUUGUACAACUUUAAUAUCGCUGACAGUCUUGUGAAUUUAGUACAACCAUUAUAUAAUUCUUUCUCUGCAUCACUCAACAAACUUUCAAACAUUUUAGGACAAUCUCGAAGAUCUUCUUCAACUGCUUUUGCAAUCUCAUCAACUCGGUCCGGCUCAUAUGUAUCUGUAUCGAAAUCAGUAGAUCCCUCCUGCUGGAAAAUCCUCCUUCUCCGAAGGAUCUUCUCCCUCCCUAGCAUCUUAGGUCUAUCCCUUAUGUCUUUUUGGAUGACAAAAGGGGAGAAUUAAGUUAGAUUUUCAUUUUUUUUGUCCUGCUUUCUUGUUGUAAUUCUGCAACUUUUGAUGUAUCUUUGCCAAAUUUAAUGAACUUUUGUUAUCUUUAAUGAAACUCUUUCUGAUUGCAUUCAAAUAUUUUAUUUUAUGUUGAAUUAACAAAUGCACAAAUUGAGGGGGAGCUGUUACAGCUCUUUAUCUUAGAAUCAAAUUAAAAUCUAAAUUAACAUGUUUGUCAUCAUCAAAAAGGGGGAGAUUGUUGAGACAAACUCUCUAUUUUAAAAGUUUUGAUGAAAAUAAACAAAGGUUAAUUAAGAAUGUUAAUUAUGAUUCUAAAUGUUAUGUUAAUUUAACUUGUGUUCUUGAGUGGUUUUAAUUAAGAGCAGAAUCAAGCAAAUACAAGAAAAGACAACAACAAGAUCAUUCUACAUCAUAAACAGAGAAUGAUCUUCAGCUUCACCGAAUUAUCUAUCACAGCAUGUUGUUCAAAGUUUAUCUACAUCGUUAACAAAGAAUCUGUCCUGGAAAUUUGUUCAUAUCUAAUCAGUACAUGGAAAGGAACAAGUAGGAUUCAUCCAAGCUCAAAAAGGCUAUUUGAUCACAAAGAUCAAAGGGUUCAAACAUGGACAAAAGUCAUGACGGCUUAAGAACUCCAAAAUUCAAAUGUCAAGAAAACUUGAUCAAACUGGGUAUAUGACAAGACAAGAACAAAGGAAAUACAGAAAAUUUAAAACGGGAACUCCAGAAUGAUUAUUGAAGCUCAAGAAAGUUCAAACUGUUAAAACCAAGAACGCUAAUCAUUCUCCGUUUUCUGCACAUCAACAACAGCCUUGCAUCCUCUCUGUUUCAGUCUGCAAUUCGCUUCAAAUCUUCUCCAACCUUCUCUAGCUACACUCAAGACUCAAGACAGAUAAUGUACCAUCCAAGAUCAAUGAAGAAAUGUCAAAGAAAGGACAGAGAUGCUUUAAAUGCUAAACCUUAAAAGUCAAAAAGCUAUUUCAAAGAAGGAUUAUUUUUAUUCUAAAAAUAAUGUUUCAGUCAAAAAGCUAACAACUCUUGUACCUUCAUUUAAGUACAUCUACAACCUAUAAAUAGAAGGCCAUUAUCUCAGUUCUAAACAAGAAAUUCAAGUGCUAAGUAAUCAACAAUAUACAAUCACACUUAAGCUUGAAAUUCUGCAAAACAGAGACAACAUCAUUUUAUGCAAUUCGCGAAACAGCCACUGCUGCACAUUCACAUAUCAGCUGCGAAAUUGUCUUUAGAUACUCUGUAAAGAAUCUAUUCUCAAACAAGAGUUGAGCAAUAUCAGAUUAUGUCAAAUUCAAUCAUUUGAAAAAACUCAAACUAUAAGAGUUUCUUUAUAGUUUGUUUAAGAUUGCUUCCUAUCAAGGUUAGAUAGGUGUUGUAAUUGCUUUCUGGGUGGAAAGUAAUUAAGAAAGAAAUAGAUCAAGGUUGAUUUAUUCUAGGAAAACAGAGGCAACAUCAUUUUCUGCAAUUCGCGAAACAGCCACUGCUGCACAUUCACAUAUCAGCUGCGAAAUUGUCAUUAGAUACUCUGUAAAGAAUCUAUUCUCAAACAAGAGUUGAGCAAUAUCAGAUUCUGUCAAAUUCAAUCAUUUGUAAAAACUCAAACUAUAAGAGUUUCUUUAUAGUUUGUUUAAGAUUGCUUCCUAUCAAGGUUAGAUAGGUGUUGUGAUUGCUUUCUGGGUGGAAAGUAAUUAAGAAAGAAAUAGAUCAAGGUUGAUUUAUUCUAGGUGUUGUAAGAUUAAGAAGGUUCUUCAUUUUAAACACUUAGUGGAAAAUCUCACAGUGUGAGGACUGGACGUAACCCACGUUGGGUGAACCAGGAUAAAUCUUUGUGUGGUAUUCUCUUUCCUUUCUCCUUCUUUAUUAUACUGCAUUAAUCAUUUAAGAUAAAAUAGAAACUGAUUUUCUGCUAAUUUAAGAACGUUCUCUGUUUUAUAACAUAAACCAAGAACGUUCUCCGUUUUCUGUUUCAUAACCAAGAUCAUUCUUGAGUUAUUUUCUUAAGUUUUAACAGGAAUUUUUAAAAGGCAUAUUUACAAUUCAAACCCCCCUUUCUUGUAAAUCGAUAUUUUUACUUCAACAAUUUCAAAACAGAACAGAUUAUGUGGUAUGAGUUUUUGACAAUUUUUGACAAUUUCAAAACAUAACAGAUCAUGUGUAGAAGAGAUUUAAUAUAUAUAUAUAUAUAUAUAACAAAACAUAACAGAUCAUGUGUAAAAAAUACCUGAGACAACGUAGAUGGCCGCACAGUACGUAGAAGAUAUUAGGGUUCCCAAUGUAUAUAAUUAUUUGAAAGAUGUAGAGGAUAUGAGGGUUUCCAACGUAAAUAAUUAUUUGAAAGAUGUAGUUUACAGCGCUUGUGAAAAAAGCGCUGUAAUAGGUAGUUAAAUUCAAUGAUAGCGCAUGUAUUUUACAGCGCUUGUGAAAAAAGCGAUGUAUUAGGUAGUUCAAAUAUUUGAAAGCGCAUGUGUUUACAGCGCUUGUGAAAAAAGCGCUGUAACUGAUACGCGAAAGCGCUUCAUUUUACAGCGCUUGUUUUGCAGCGCUUGUCAACAAAAGCGCUGUAAAAGGCUCCGUUAUUUUUAAAAUAUAUUUACAACAGCGCUUGUGUUUAGCAAGCGCGGUAAAAAGGACGCUGUUAAAUGUCAUUUUUGGUGUAGUGGAAGUUAAGUCAUUACAAAGAUGAAUUUAAAUAUUCUCUGCAACACUACGGAUUUGGUAUGAAACUACUUUGGGCUGAUGUUAAGAUAAACUCUAGAAUAAUUUUUAAAACUUGGUAAUGGAAAGAGUCUUUCUAGAAGGGAGAGACAACAACUCACGAGGACAACAACCGAUAUUUUCAUGCUAGUUCUUUUUGAUGUAUUUAUCACAGUUCCGUUCAUGGAGUUUCUGUUGCCAGUAUUCUUGAAACUGUUCCCCAACAUGCUGCUUUCUACUUUCUAGGAUAAGAUGAAAGAAUAGGUAAUUAUUAAUGUACUCAUCAAACAUUACUUGCCUUAUUGCUGGCGUGCUUUAUUAUCACUCAAUUUUGGGAAAGCUUAACUUGUAGGAGGCAUUGAAAAGAAGGCUAAAUGCAAGAAUAAAAUAUGAUAUGUUUCUUCAAGAUACUGUGAAAGAAAUGACGAAGGAGAUUCAUAAUUCCCGAAGUGGAGAAAUGAAGAGACAAUAGAAGAACUUGAUGAAUUUAUGAACAAGGUCAAUCAUGUUAUUCGUAAUAUAGCUAUUUUAUAUUUCAGCUGUCAUCUUAUGGACAAUAUUGUAUAUUAUGUUCGUAUUUAGUUUGUUAAUGGAACAUGUCAGAACAGGUGCUUGAGUUUCAAAAGAUGCGAUCUUAGGAUUUGCCAAAUUAUUUAACGAUGAGUUCACUUUGGAUAACAUAGUAGGUUGGUCCUUCUACCAUUGGUUAUGUUCAACUAAUUGUGAUCUUCUGUUAUGAAUCUUAUAUUUUGGAUCUCCAUUAUCAUUAUACUAAUAUGUCUUUUGGUUUUUAAAAUGGAUAAACAGGCCUCGCUUGGUAAAUAUGUGUAAAUACAUGGCUCUGAUUUUGGUGUAUGUAUAUAAUCAUUGGCUCUUAUAGGUUAGAAGAUUUUAGGGAAGUUUCAUUUAAUGCUGUGUGCCAGAUUUUUUAUUUUAUUUGGUGUAGAUCAGGAUUUUUUUUUCCAAGCAUUAUACAUAAUACAUAUCUUAUAUAUGUUACAUGAAUCUAUGAAUGUUUGCCUUCUCACUUACUUUUUUGUAUCAUUGUUAUUUUGAAAAUAUAGAUUUGAAAUUUUAGGCUUUGACAGGAUCAAGAAUGAUGAUAAAUUGAUUAAAGAAGGUGUGGAGUCUCUUUCUGAAGCAGAGCUUCGUCAAGCUUGUAGAGAUCGAGGAUUACUUGGAUUGCAUUCAGUGAAAGAAAUGCAGCAUCAGGUUAACAAUAAAUGUUUAAACAUAAUUUGUACACUGGAGCUCAAUUAUGGAGUCUCCAACAUUGUGUUAAUUUAUUGGCUGGGAAAUUCUUGAGAAUGAGAAACUAGCCAUAUAAUUGCUACUUUCAGAAAUUUGAACCAUUAUCUUCUUAUUUUUGCAAUUUUCAGAAACUUUAUCUAUUUCUAAUUACUACUUUGAGAACCUUCUUAUUGAACUUUUUUUUAAUCAAUUUUAAUUGAAAAUCAUUGAUAUGAUAUCCAGAUUUAACUCAAACAACACCCAAGAUUCUCAAAUGCUAUUGUGUGGAGUGAAUAACAAAAAUAAUGUCUUAAAAACAAGGGUUGUAGGUAAACAACAUUUUGUCUUUCUUAUUUUUAUUAUCUAUGAUAUGAUCGAAGAUUAUUGGUUUAUAAUCCUCUAUAUAUAAUAAAUAUUUGCUCUCCAAUUUAUAAGGCCCUGCAUUUGAAAUUAUUUCUUAAUGAAAUGUAUGAAAUAAUAUUUGAUUUUGAGUUUAUUACCACUAUCAAAUUGGGGAAUUAGUUUGAUGUUUGCAUGUUUUGAUUUUGAGAAUUUGAUCUUGUUUGAUGUUAAUAUUAAAGUCUUGAUUAUGUAUGAAAUAGUGAGGUUGAAUUUAAUAUAUAUACUUAUAUGUUAUUUUCAGUCAAUACAUACUUGUAAUUGUCACGAGAUAGUAGACGUUCUUCUUAUUCUAGUUGCUGGUCUAAUCUUGGAACAACAUCAAUACAUCAUUAGGGACUAUCUAGAUGAAAAGUGAGGGGUUUAGUUUGUUUGUGUUGAAUUGGGUAUUGUUUAGAUAUUCAUGUCUAUGUUUAAUGGUUAUUCCAUUUGUUAAGUUGGCAAUGAUGCAACUGUUAUUGCUGGUACUUUUUCUUUCUCUAUGUGUCAUAGAUAUUUAUCACACUUAACACUUUGAACUUAUCUUUAUCAUUAUCAUGAUAUAUAUUUGUUUAUUUUUAGGGAACAUAUAUACUUUUGGGCUAUUUGUAUCCCAAUGUAAGUUUCAUAAAUUGAUUUUUUUUUUAAAAAGAUGACGAAUAAGAGAAAGAAUCAUAACAAUUUGAAUGUAGGAUUUAAUUUUUAAUAAAAAAAACUAGUAAAAAACUUGUACAAUCGCACCAGUGAAAAAAACUAAAGAAUCAUUUAGCAAGAUUAAGAGGUUUUGGCCCUGGUCCAAACACUGACUGCCUCAACUUGAUUAUGUCUAUUCGCGUUCCGGUUGCAACAUAUUUCUUUUUCGGGUAUGCAAGAGUAGACAGCCUCNNNNNNNNNNNNNNNNNNNNNNNNNNNNNNNNNNNNNNUCCCUUUCAUCAUGGUACGAUCACAUAAAUAAUACUUUUUUAAGUGAAAUCUGCUCUUUAUCCAAAAAAGUUACGAUGUCCUAAGGUUGGUCCAACAUAUCAUGAGGUCUAAAGCAAAACUAUUAGAUAUGAUAUUUUCAAAAAUUAAUAAAUAAAUUAUUAAUAUUUUAUUUAAUAAUUAUAGAAAAUUUCUUUAGUAGAAUUAAUAGUAUUUUCAAAUCUAUUUUCUCUAUAUUUUUCAAAAAAUAAAAUAAGACAUUUUAAUUGUUUUAUAACAACAUCAAAAACUCAUGUAAAAUUUUUCAUCUUUUAGUUGAAGAAGAAAAUAGUGUGUAUACUACUACUCCAAUAACUCAUGUUAAAAGUGUGUUCACUAAUAUUUCUCAUGAGUUAAUUGUUUCAUGAUUUCUCAAUUUAUAACUAAUAAUUCUCAUAUGAUGAAUGCACUCACUUUUGUCUCCUAAUUUCUAACUAAUAUUUUUCAAUUUAUAUAAAUUUUGUCAGUUAAUAUCAAAAGUUAAGACGAAAUUUUACAUAGAUUGAAAAAUAUCAAUCUAAAUAAAUAAUGAUUCUACCAAAAAUUAAAAAAAUAUUUAAAAUAAAAAAAAUAUUUUUUUUACGACGUCUAGGGCGAUCGUUUUAGGUGCUGUCCCUUGAGUCUGUUCUAACACUUCGUGUGUAAAAUUUUGUUCCAGCACGUCGUGUUAAGAGUUUUUUUUGACGUAUUUGUUAAACGCGUUUUUUUAAUAAGAAAACUAAUUCAAAUGACGUCAGCCUCAACCUGAUUAUGUGUCUUCCAAUAGGCGUUCCGGUUGCAACAUAGAAGGUUUCUUUUUCGGUUGACGACGUCUAGAGCAAUCGUUUUAGGUGCCUGUCCUUAAGCCUGUUCUAGCAAAGAUUUUGCUCUAGGACGUAGUGUUAAGAGUUUUGUUUGACGUAUUUGUUAAACGACCAUCUGUUAAAAGCUUUUAAUGUCACGUUGUGUUAAGAGUUUUGUUGACGUGUUAAUCGCUGUGAAUAUCUAAUAGAUGAUUAUUUAAUUUAAUGUCUUUAAAUUAAAUAAUGAUAAAAAUCAUCUUAAUCUUAUCUUAAUUUAAUUCUUUGUUUUUAUUUUUAGAAGUUUAACUUUUUAACUUUAACAAACAUAUUUCACAUUUCACAUAAAACAUUUGUAAAAUGACACUUUUUAUCACCGUUAUUAAGAAUAAUUUCUUUUUUUCAAUUGUUUUAAAAAAAAUUCUUAAUUCUUAUUCUCAAUCUCAUUUUAAUUGAAAAUCAUAUUCGUUUUCUAUAUCAUAUUUCCUAGACUUUGUAAUUUUUCUCUUUUGUUUUAAUUUAGGUGUUUUGUGUUUACAAUCUUUUCAUUGCAAGGUUUAUUAUAGAUUAAGGAAAAAUAUGUAACAUAAUUAUUAGAAGUAUAUAGUUUUUUAUAUUUAGAGAUUGAAGUGAUAUUUAUUUAUUUUCCUUUAAAAUGGCCACGGUUAUAUUAUGGUCAUCAGAAAAGGAGUAUAUUAUGUUGGUGAAAAUAUGUAAAAUUAAUAAUAUAUUAAAAAAAUUAAUUUGUCUAAAAUUGAUAUGCAUUUUUUUUGUUUCAAGUGCAACAAACUAAGUUAUAUCAAUCAUGAGUAUUUAAAUGAAAAUAUUGACGCGGUAAUUGAAACUAAUAAAAAAUUGCAAGUUAUUCAUAUGGAAAUAAAUAUCAAUUUAGUGAUAAAAUUUUAAUUUUAUAACCUCAAGAAAUAGAGAUUAAAUUUCAUAAUAAACAUAUAUAAAAUUAUCAUCAGUGUUACAUCUAUAUCUAUUACUAAUAAUUUUGUCUCCCCCAAAUUAAAAAAAUAAAAAUAAAAAGUGUUACUAAACAAGCUAACUAUGAGUCAUGACAAUGACAAUGACAAUAGUUGCUCUUAAUGUGUAUAUAUUCCCAUCCAUUACAAUAGUAUUGUAAAAUAUAUUGUAAGUAUUUUACAAUUUUUUAGACAAAAGUAUUUGAUUCUUGAAGAAUAAGAUAUUAUAAACUUUUUAAUUUUAUAGAUUUACAACAAGGAAAAGUACUUGCUCAUUGUAUUGAAGAUUUAUUUGGUAGAACCUUUGUACCUGCCUAGCUAACUAGGGUGAAGCAUAUUUGGGCUCCUAACCUCAGGUUAUAUACAAUUUAAUGUGUGGAAUAAUUUUUCCAUCCAGCAUAUAUAAUGUACUUAGGAUAAAAUAAAAUGGAUAAUGAGGAACUUGUCACAAGGUUGGUAAAUAUCCACCACAGGUACUAGUAGCAGUAGCGAAGGAGGCUCCAUGUUAUUUUUUAUUUUUUGUACAAAGGAGGUUCCAUGUUCAAUUCCUUAGUUUUUUGUCUUUUAACACAUGAUGGAAACUUAUCAUAAAAAAUAAAAAUAUUAAUAAAAAAUAAGCCACAAAUUUCAAAAUGCCUUAAGGAAGAGAAUAAUUGGAAAUAUUUAAGUACAAUAGGAUUGGUUGUUAUGAAUUAUAAAAGAAUGAUAAACAAUAAUGAAAAUAAAAACUACUUUGUAUUUGUUAACGAUAAAGAAUAUAUAUAAUUCUUUUAAAAAAUCAUCUAUAACAAUAAACAUUGCAAAGGCAAAAGAAUGUCUAUAAAAAAUUACUUAAAAAACACUUACACUAGAUUUAUAAUUUAAGUUUUAAGAUUUUUUUUUCUUUUCAAAUUUUCAUUUUUUUCAGAUAAAAAUUCUUAAAUAUUUUUUAAAAAAUGAGACAAACAUGUUUGUCACAAUGUGAGGAUGUCGUCUUGGAUCUCAAAUAUUUUUAUAUCUCAAAUUUAUAUUUUUAAUUUAAUUAAUAUUAUUAAUUUUUUAAUAUUAAAUAUGUUAAUCUUUAUAGUAAAUUUUAUUCUCUAAUUUUUGUACGAUUUAAUAAAUAAUAUAUUCAAUUAUGUGGUUGUAUUUAAUAUUUAGCUGUAAAUAAGUUGUUUAAUAUUGUAUCAAGUCAAUUUCUUUUAAUAUUAUAAAAAAAAUUAGACUUAAAAACAUCCAAUUUACUAUUGUUAAUUUUAACGAGUUUUAUUUUCUAUUUUACUUUAAAUGUUAAUAUUAUUGGAUCGACCCUAUCCUUGAAAAUCUCUAAAACGAAGGGAGAUGUUUUAAAUUAAAGCUAGUUUAAGUACUUAAUGAGAACUAAAUAACAUAAAUAUAAAGAUAUUAAUUAAAACAUCAUUAUUUGUAACAUAGAAAUUGACCAAGAGUCCUAAGAUGGUCAAGAGAUUGUGUCCCUUCGCAAAGGGUGCAAUUUUUUUUUUAUAAGAAAAAAGUGAUUUCCUACAUGAUUGCAAAAUGUCCACUAUCACUAUGAUGUGAAGUUUAAGAUAGCUGACUCAAAUAUACGCUAUGUUACUCCCUCUACUUCUAUUGGACUUUAUAACACUUAAAGUAAUUAAUGAGUGGAUUAUUGUCUAAUUAAAAAUCUUACCAAUAAAAUUAAAUGAAAUAAAAUUAUGAUAAAAGGAAAAAUGGUGCAGUGCCAACAAAAACCAAAUCUCAAAGAUAAAGACAACGACGAUUAGGGAGACUAAAUUCAUUAUGAAAGAAAUAUUCCCUAAUAAAAUUAAGUAAAUAAUCUGAAUGUCAUAUUGAUUUUGAAACUCCAACAUAGAGGAGGACACAUAUAAUCUCUAGAAUAAAGACAUGAUCAAUCAAUUUGCAAGCAGCCUAAAAAAAAUUACUGUGAGAUGGUCGAGACAAUCACGUUCCUUCUAACUUUUAGAACAAACAAAGAUGAUCGAAUGCAUAGAAGCAUCCAAAUUGCAUUGAAAAAUGUAAAACAACCUAUUGCAUAAUUUACAAGCCAAAGCACACAAAAAUAUGGGAGGAGCUUCCAUAAGCCACAUUACACAAAGCUAAAUUGAUGCCAUAACACACCCAUGAAGAGAGAAGUAAAUUGAAGGAGUAUGAAGUAAAGAUAGAGUGAGAGGUAAAUUUCUCAGAGCUUUGAUUGGUAGUGAAAAGAAGUUGAGAAAAGAGAAAUGUGUGAAAAAUAGUGUAAGAAAAGAUAAAUAAAAGAGAAAUAGAAUAAAUUUGAUGUAUUAAUUGGUUGAAGAGAAAUAGACAAGAAAUAGAGAAAAAAUGUUAAAAAUUAUUCGUGAAAAUGCGACAAUAUCUUUAAAUUUUACAGCAUUAUAUUUUUAAUAUAAUAAAUAACAUUUUAAUAUUAUAUAUUUAAUUUAUUGAAUUAAUUUUUUUUAUCCAUUUCUUUAAUAUUUAACUAAAUGAUUUAAGAUACUUAAUUUAAUUAUUAUUUUAGUUAUUGUUUAAAUUAAUUAAUUAAUUAAAAUCAUUAUAUUGAAAUGUUAGACACAAAUAUCAAGGUAAGAAUAUUAGUUUAGCAAUGACAAAUCAUUCUAUUUGGUUUCUUGAUAGUUUUGCAAAUAUAAUAAAAACGUAGGUCCCAUUAAUAUUUCUUCCCUCUUUCAUUUUUUAUUGCUUUGCCAUUGAUCUUUCUCUCGUCUAUCAGUCUCCUGUCCUUCUUUCUCCCAUACCAAUCACAACUCUAGGGUUUCUGAUCUUGUUUAUUUAUCAAACUAGGAUUGCACGCAUUUAUUGAACAUUUUGUAUGUACAUUGCUACAAAGCUUUCGAAAUUAAACAUUAAUAAGUGACUUAGAAGAGACAUAAUUAACUCACACAAUUACGAGAUCCUAAAUUCAAACACGGAACAAAAUAUCCAACCUAACAAUAUCAAUAUUUGUCAGUUAAAAUAUAAUUUAAAAACCUUUCAACAUAAUUCCAACAAUUACUAACAAUAAUAACACAUCGUUGCUUGCAUAUUCUAAGAUACACAACACAUGAAAUUGAUUGACCACAAAAUAUUAAUAAUAAUAACAAUUUACAUGCUCCUACCAAUUCUUUCCCUUAUUUUUCUUCCCCACCUCUACAUAUAUUAUCAAAAGCUAAGAUCCAACGGUGUAUUUUACAUUACCGAAAACUAACAAAAAUAGCCAAAAAUUGAGAGUUGGACAGCAUUCGCCAUUUUAAUAUAUCAAAUAAGCAUACUUCAUAAAAAAACAAAUUACCCUGUCGUGUUUAGAGGAAGACAUCUAAAUAAAACUUUAGGCAUGAGCAUAAUUUCUAUAAGUACAUUUUCUUUUUUCUAUCACAAUCACAUUGGUACGUUGGAUCAUCAGAUUUUAACAGAACAUGGUGACCCCAUAAUAAAAUACAGGUCGUAUGUAUAUAUAAUUGGUAAAAUUAUGUUCUCAUGAACAUGCAAACCAAAAGUUCUGAUUUCAGAGGCCCCUUGAUGUAUGCCUUUUCCAUUGCUGAUAUUCUUUGUUGUAUUAUUAGUGGAGAUGUUGCAACUACAAGAAGGGUACAUCUCCUCUCGCACCAUAUCAUCUCUACAUCUACAGGUAUUACAUCUCAACCAAAUCAGCUUAUCAUAGAUUCAAAAUACAUAAACCAUAGUCCAUAAAUAACAAGCUAAAACACUCGACCAAAUCAGUAAUCACACACAUCCUACAAUGGCUGUAGUGCUUUGGGCAUUGGCUUUAGCAAGCCUAUGCUACCCUCUAGCCUCAACCAAUGCUCAAUCACAUGCAGCUGCACCAUCAAAGUUUCCAACCACAACAGCAUCUUCACCCUCCACAUUGCCAAUUGCAACUUCACCAUCUUUAGCCAAACAACAACCUGUUGUGGCAGCAACUCCUGCUAGUAGUACAAAGAAACCACCAACAGCAACUUCUCCUACUUGGAACAAACCAACGAACACAAUCACAUCAGCAGCACCUUCCAAAUUACCAACCAUAAUCCCCGCUGCACCUUCCAAGUUGCCAACUGCAGCUUCUCCAACUUCUGGCACACCGUCAGCUGCUAAAACACCACCCAUUGUGGUAGCAGCUCCUCUUGCCUCAAGAAAACCACCAGUAGCAACAUCAACUCCAACAGCUGGCCCCGUGAAAUCACCAGUUCCCAAAUAUACAUCUCCAACAUCUUCCCCUGUGAAGUCAUCAGUUCCCAAAGUCACAACGCCAGCAUCUACUCCUGUAAAGUCAUCAGUCCCCAAAGUUACAACUCCAGCAUCAGCUCCUGUGAAGCCACCAGUUCCAAAAGUAACAUCUCCAACAUCUUCCCCUGUGAAGUUACCAUCUCCAAAGGUUACAACUCCAACAUCUUCUCCUGUGAAACCACCGGUUCCAAAAGCUAUAACUCCAGCAUUUGCUCCUUUGAAACCUCUUAUUCCAAAACCUACAACUCCGGCAUCUGCUCCUUUGAAACCUCUUGUUCCAAAAACUACAACUCCAACAUCUGCUCCUUUGAAACCUCCAGUUCCUAAAAUUACAACUCCAACAUCUGCUCCUUUGAAACCUCCAGUUCCUAAAAUUACAACUCCAACAUCUGCUCCAGUGAAACCACCAGUACCCAAAUUUACAACUCCAACAUCUGCUCCUGUAAAACCACCAGUUCCAAAAGCUACCACUCCAAAAUCUGCACCUUUGAAACCACCAGUUCCAAAAGUUACCACUCCAAAGGCUGCACCUGUGAAACCACCAGUUCCAAAAGCUACCACUCCAAAGGCUGCACCUGUGAAACCACCAGUUCCAAAAGCUACCACUCCAAAGGCUGCUCCUGUGAAAUCACCAGUUCCAGAUCCUCCAAAACUUGCUCCUGUAAAAACACCAGUCCCCAAGGUUACACCAGCAUUAAGCCCAAAAGCUCCAUCUCCUAAAAUUCUACCACCACCACAUCCACCCAAAAAAGCACCAGUUUCUCUACCACCACUACCUCUAGCACCUGUUUCACUUGCACCAUUACCGUUGCCACCAGCUUCUUCACCACCAAAGGCAUCCCCAACACCUGCAAAGGCACCAAAAGCACCAACACCAUCCAAAGAAACACCAGCACCAGCACCACAUAAAAAGAAAGCACCAAAGUCUUCACCUGUUCCUUCCCCAGCAAUUAACCCACCAUCACCUGCACCAGCACCUGCAAUAGACACACCAUCAUCAGCACCAGCACCAACACCUGAAGAUGACACGCCAGAACCACCACCCCACAAGCACAAGAGAAGAAAACACAAGCAUAAGCAUAGGAGACAUCAUGCGGUAUCUUUAGCUCCAGAACCAACAAGUACAACAAUCAUUAGGAGGAGUCCCCCAGCACCACUAGCUGAUGAUACUACUCCAGCAGAUUCUGAUGAGUCACCAGCACCAGCACCAAGUCCCAAUGCGGUACCAUUUUACUUUAAGUUACAUUGAUAUAUUUAUGGACCUCUCUGGUCUGGAUUAUACAGCAUUAAUGCAGUCAUGUAAUCUCAGCCAUCUGAUCUUUAUCGGAUGGUUCGUACUCUAACUUAGAGAAACAGGUCUAUAUCACACAUUUAAACUGUUAUCCGGUCAAGAUCAAAUGGUCAGGAUUUACAACAGCGUGAAUGCGUGAUUGCACCCAAUCCACUUUCCUUACAUACAUAAAUGUCUAAUAGAAUGCGACAUAUAUCAUAAAAUUGGAUUGGUUUGAGUGGAGAAGAGUUUUGUUCUCCUUAUAUAAGAUCUUAAUUCAAAUCUUGUAAAUAGAGAAAUGACGUGUUAAGAGAGAUUUGUCCCUUACAUGGGACCACUUGGCUCGACCUGAAUUUGUUAGGGUCCAAUGUGAGAUCCAGUAACAAGGGUUUAGACCCAAAAAAGAAUAAGACAAAGAUAUAUACUUAAAUCUUUGACGCUACUCUAAGAUUGUGAAUCUUGAAAGUGUGAACAAUUGUGAAAAUGACUGUAUAUGUUGUUUAUGUUUCAAAUCCAAAGAGCUUUUUGCAUGUGAUAAAACUGGCUAAAGCUUCGUUACCAAAUCUUAUGAUUUUAUUUUCACAGAAUGGUGCACCAUCAUACCAAGGGCAAUGGAGAAAGAUAAUGGCAACUGGUGGACUUGCUGUUGCCAUUUUGUUAUGUGUCACUUGAAUACCUGCAGCAGAUGCUAUAUAUAUCAGGUCAUUUGAAGAAACAUGGAUUCACGCAAAGCGGUUAAAUUUGGUUUGCAAAAAUAUAAAAUUAUUUCAUAUGUAUGAAAAUGAAUAAUGAAAAAUUAUACUUAUAAAUUAUUAAUUUUUUAUCCUUCCGUUCUUUCAUUGUAUUGUGGUCUUUGCUCAAACAAUAUUAGUGAUAUGAGAUUUUGAGUUAUCAGGAAAUGCAAAGUGAAAUAUGUGUGUCUAAUACUUCAUGACAAGUCCAUUAUAGUCAGUUUUACAUUAUGAAUCCAAAGCCGAAGGAAAAUGCACAGUAAUGAGAUCAUGAACACUCAAUUGCUUAAAAAUAAAACAUGUGUAAUGUACCAGUACUUAAUACUUACACAUAUAAUUGUGUUACAAAUUAAAUAUGAGCAUGAAAACUCAUGCAAUGCUGGAGUAAAUGUUAUUGCUAUUUUCUAACAACAGUCAACAAUAAGGUCCCCAAAAUAAAUGUGCAGUAAUAAGGCAACCAUAAGAUCAGUUAGAACUAGUUUGUGACCCAUGCAACAUGUAAAUUUAUGCUUAUAUGUGAAAGUGAUUACUCAUUAUUUUAAAUGUAAAAAUAUAACUUAUUUGAACCAUAAAAACACAAUAAAUGUGAUUGUAGCACAAAAAGAUGUGUUUUCCAAUAUAAAAAAAAUAGUAAAAGCUGGGUGUUCUUAAUUUGACAAAUUUAAACAAGUAUAAAAUUUUUGUUAACAUCAUGGGUUGUUUAUUAAGAUGCAAUACCACAGCAAAUUGAACAUAACAAAAGAACUUCUCUCCUUUACUUAGUUGUAGUUUGUACCAAAUUUAUAAUAGCAAAACGUUAAAUUUCUGUUUGUAAAUACAUCGGAACGUAAUGGUAAGGAACUAAACAGUUUUGAUUGUUGAAACUAAAUCACACAUAUAAGCUGAAAAUUUUGUAAAUUGUAAUAAUAGGACUAAAAGGAAAACAAUGGUUAUAGUUAUAGUGGGAGUCAUCUUCCAUUCCCACAAUGAAAUAUUUCAUACAACCAAAGAAAUGCAUCGUGAUAAAUUGAUAAUCAUAUGCAACAGCUUACAAUAUACCCUAUGUUUUGAUAGGAAGAAGUCUAAGUACAUUUAAAUAAUUUAAACAACUGGGAAUUCCAUAUUGUAUCAUACGCUAAACCACAAACAUAACUGUUCUUCCAUUAUAAAUGCAUAAAGAACUUUCAAAAUAAAUGACACAUCUGAUGAAAUAACAACUAGAUUGAAGAAAAUGAGAAUUGUGUACUUUGAGAAACUAGCAACCAUUAGUUAAAGAGUUUAGCUAAUAAUUUCUAAAAUAUUGAUAUAAAACAUACAACUUAAAAGUCUUGUAAUUUUGCUAGAAAAGAAACAAAUUACUUAAGGUUGAACAGAUUUGCAUAUUACAAAAGAAGCAAUGACUUCAAUUAUCCACUUCCAGGAACAUGUGUGAAUUUUAGAAAUGUGGGGGGGCGAAAAGUAGCUCCCCAAUUUUAAGCUCACAACCCACAAUAAUAUAGCUUCAAUUGCAAUUUAUAGCUAAAGAAUCUAAUAGUUCUAUGAGAAUGAGACACCUCAAAAACUUGCAUAAAAAAUAUCUUACUUAACCACUAACUUAGUAAGGGACACCAAAGGAGUUUUAAGAAGGAGGUAUCGGUUCAAACUCAGAAAAACUAUCAUAACAGCUAACUUAAUAACAUUUGCCUAUUGAUUUUUUUCUUUUGCCAAUGUUUUACACAUAUGACCUGCAAAUUUGGUUUAGAUCAAUUUUAAAAUUUUGAAGAAGUGAAGUAACAAAGUUAAAAAAAAGUAAUAAAAUUUAAAAAUAAUAUGAAUAAUUGCAAGAAAGCCAUUACAGUUGCAUCAGAACAUCGGCUAGCUUCAAUAAUCAACUACACAAUUAUGAAUGAAAUUUAGUAAAAAAAUGUUAAAAUUAGUAGUGUUUAUUUUUGAAAAAUCAAAAACUUGUCUAAUAAAAUGAUUAAUUCUAAAAAAUAAUAAUAAUUAAGAAAUGGUUAUGCAAAAUUGCGAGUUACCUAAAGAGGGGUAAAAAAGACCAUUGCAAUUCAAACAUACAUCAGACAAAGAGAAUGGAUUUCACUUCAGAAUUGAUUCCAAAAUGAAACGUGAGAUUGGAUUGAAGUGGCGAUACGUAACCAAACAUGUCCAAAUCGCUUUUGAUGGGAUGAAACCUGCUGUUGAUGAUUUUCACCAGCCAGCCAAACAUCCUUUUUUUUAGAAUUGAUUCUAAUUUAAAAUAGAAAAAUAAAAUCAACUUUUUUAUAUAGAGUCCAUGUUGAUUCUAGAGGUAGUGUAAAUUUUGAUUCUAGAAUAGAAUUGAUUUGAC
rnacentral:lncRNA from 1 species